AUCUAGAUCUAGUCUAGAUCUAUCCAUCUGGCACAUCAAAACAGUUCUGCUUGAGAAAAUUAUAUCUGAAAUUUACUGAAAUAAUACUCAAAAUACGGUCAAAGAGAGGUAACCGUACAAAUACUGAAGUGGGGUUGAAUUUUCAUGGUUAUCUUCCCUUUAACCCAUACCCAAAGAUAAUAGCCUAAUACUAGUACAUGUAAUACAAUAGCUCACAGCAUGACGUUCUAUGUGUCAGACAUGGGUACUUUCUUACUCUUAUUGGCAUGGCCGGCGUGACCCGAUUUACAUGUACAAUCUCUGAACCCCCAUCUUGCUUCCCACUAGCUCUAGCAUUAAAAAAACCACCAUUCUGUCUCGAAAAGUAGGCUGCUAAUUCGUCUGUUGAUCCGCGCUUUUCACGUGUCUCAGAGUGUCUCAGAGUGGGUGACACCACUUCCGCCAAAUGAAGUACGAAUUAGUAUAGUAUCUUUGGUCUUGCCGGAAAUACUUACGAAAAAAAUAAUAUUCCCGAAUAAAAAUUGUAUUGUACUAAAUUGAAAGAAGAAGGCAAUUCACAAUACAAAACAAGUUUACAAGUCAUUAGUUCGCUAAAAAACAUUUUAAGAAUGAUAAUUACUGCUUUGCUAACACAAGUGCUUUUAGCGAAACGAUACAAAUCCACCUUUUGUAUUUUAAAGAAAAACCGGAACUAGUGCGUGGUGUUUACACAAACGAUGAUGACGUAAUUGUAAAGAUACAAUGUGUGUGCAAAGAUCAAUGACGUAGAUACACAUCGCGCCGGAAAUACGCACGUAAAAAAAUAAUAUUUCCUAAAAAAACCCAUAUAAUACUAUAUUGACAGAAGAUGGCAAUUCACAAUAUAAAACAAGUUUACCAGUCAUUUGUGCUCUAAAAAAACUUUUAAGGAGUGAUAAUUACUGCUCUGCUAACACACGUUCUUUUAGUGAAACGAUAAAAAUCCUGCUUUUGUAUAAUUUCAAAGUAAACAUGAACUGGUACCCUCUCAUCAGUGAGGCUAUCUUUAAUUAAUCUAGAUCUAGAUCUAGAUCUAGAUUUAAUAAUGUAAAAUAACUUCCCCAGAGAAGAUGAGUUAAGAUUUUAAACAAAAACACAAACUUAAUGCUUUUGGUGACAUUUUAUACCACACAUAUCAGGAGGAAGUUGACAAAGACUUACGAGGGAAAAUGCUUUCCGUUGCUAUGGAAUCACUAAGAUGCUAAGGUGCACAUUCAGAAUGUUGAGAAAACUCGUCAAAGCUCGUUUCUCUCUAUACUAACUUAUGGACUACCAUACUACCUGUAGGUAUGUCAUCAUUGGCACUGUUUGAACUUGCAUUGAUCGAUCUAGAUCUAGAUCUAGGCAAGGCCACAAGACUGAAUUGAAGUCGAUGCUAUCCCUGUCAGCUGCAACCAAAAACUCUCCCCAGGUUCAACUUUGCGCGCCAGGAAGUUCUGGAGUAUUCAAAAAAAUCUAGAUAAGCUAGAUCUUGAUCUGACUCACUCCCUAUAGAUCUAUAGGCCUAGGCCUAGCCUAGAAUCUAGGUCUAGCCUAUGGAAGUCCAAGGAAAAUUUAUAUCUAGAUCUAGAUCUAACAACUUAAACGAAGUUGUAGAAUGGACUGAUGAACUGGUUCAAAGAAAAAAGAAAACGGAUGAAAGAAAAGAUGCAGGGUUUUUGUGGUCUUGAUUUGGCACGCUCUGUGUGUAGAUCGACGCGAUAGGUUAAUGCCAGCCAGAGAGUAAAUAUUAAUGCGCUGAGGGAUGCAAAAAGGUUUUAAAGAUAAGAAAAUUCACAUAAUGCUGCAAAUGUUCAAACUUUCGGCUAAAUUAAACGAGGAGAGAACUAGACCUAUGACUGUGAAAAGAAGUUACAUUUGUGUCUAGAUCUAUAGAACGAACAAAAAACCCCCCCAAAAAAAGAAAAAGAAAACAGCUGGACAAACGAUGUAAAAAGGUAUAAAUAAUCACUAAAUUUAUUAUCCCGAGGGUGUCUACACAAAGGAUAAUGACGAGAAAAUAAAAAGAAUAUUAUGUGUAUGCAAAGAUCUAACGUUGAUGAUUACAUAAAGAACAAUUACAUAUUAUUUAAUUUAUUUAUGUGUACUCUUCAAUUUUAUGAGCUUAUGAUAGCGUAGUACCUGAUGAGGGUAGCCUACCAGUUGCUGUUUUCUUUGAAAUACAAAAGCUGGAUUUGUAUCGUUUGGCUAAAAGCACACGUAUCAGUCAGUCAUGCCUGAAAUAUUGUUUUAGAAAAUGAAUAACUUAUAAACUUGUUUUGCCUUGUGAAUUACCUCCUUUUGUCUCUAGAUCUAUAUAUAUAAUCUUAUAAUAUAUAUUUUUUAAUGCAAAUACUAUUUUUUGCUUGUGUAUUCCCGGCACGAGCAAAGGGAUUCUAUUCAGUACUAGAGUUUGUGGCAGUGAUGUCACCCAUGUAACGAGCGGGGGCUCUGUGUGCCCACACUGGGACACUGAACAUCAAGCGCAUGACAUGAGCAGUUCAGCCGACGGUGGGGAGAUAUUUGCUCACAAGACAAACGUGUGUGUCUUAGUGACAGAGACCUGGUUUAUCUCCUGGACAUGAGGAGAGAGCAAAGGUCAACCAGAAACUGGAGGAGGGCGAGGAACCGGGGAACAGAAUUUUUGCUGAAACAACAGACUUUAGCGAGACAUAGAGGGAAAAGAAGACAAACUACAGUGGAGUCUGCUGAAACCAAACACGGUUCAUCCGAUAAUCAUAUGGCAGUAAACCAACAUAAAAUAAUGUCUCUAUUUUUUCUUCAGUUGAAGCAACCUCUGUAAACCAGAUACCAGGCUGAAGUCUCAUCUCUACGAAUGACAAAGUACAGAGCUAUUUUAAGAGCUGAGGGACGUUCUAAACUAUAGAUAUCUACAUAUAAGAUGUUAUAGUAUAGGUGUGAUCUAUUCAGGGGGAACUAGGCUCCUGAGAAAAACAAUGCCAAUCUACAUUCAUUAUAUUUUUUCAAAAUAAUUUUUCAAAACGUUAAUUUAGAUAAUUUAUAUAUUUAGUUUCUCACUCAAUACAUUAGAAAUUUUCAUGUCAAUGUUUUAAAGUUUUGUCUUUUGUAAGCUUGUUAUCUUGAAGAUUUCGCACAACUAAAAACAGAUAGAGCUUAAAGAAGGUGAAAAUUGGACAGAGUGGAAAAUUACAGAUUCAGAAAAUGCUCCUUGCCUCAGAAAGUGAUUUUCCCAUUUCCCUCUUGGUUUCCCUUUGCCACCACUAUUUGUGUUUCUCUUUCUGCUGGGCUGAUAUUUGCUCCAAUCAAGUCAUUGAUGCUCUAGCUGUUCCUGUCUUUUUCUUGGUCUUCCCCUUCCUGUGUUUUCUUAUACCUUUCUGUGGAUAACAAUUUUACCCAGAGAUUCUGUGUUUUUGUGAGCCAAAAUAAGUGAGCUUUGUGGUCAAAUUAAAUCUAUAAAUAAACAGUUCUUUAUCUGGAGCUUUUAUAAGAUCCUCCGGUUGCAUUAUUUAGAAUUCUGUUUCUACAUAUUUGUUUCUUUUUCAUUUUGUUUCAGAUCCCAACAGUCGACUGUACCUGAGUGCCACAGAAAUCUCGCCCUUCCUUGAGAUACAGCCAUAGUUCUCUCCCCUGACCAUAGAAUAUGAAGCUUUCACCGACAAAGACAUCUUGCCGGUUCGGAUCCAGGCAAGGUCUAAGCUCUGUGGCGCCAUCGGCUGGCUAGAUAACACAGUAGACAGCAAACAAUGUCUUCAGAACGUCAGAACCUGACAGAAAUGUUCAGCUAUCUGUCCGGAGAACAUUCACGACGUUACCAUGUUGAAGGGGACAUCAGCGCUGCUUACUCAGAGAUAGUCAUCAACAGGAUCUGUGGGUAGAUUUGGCAGGACGAAGGAUGAAGCUGGCAAAGAGAACGGGAAACUACUUAUCGUGCGGUCAAACAUUUGUGGUGCAACCUAUGGUCAAAUAUUUCUCUAAUGGGUAAAUCAAUGUUACUAUUGUUACCCACACUUGACACUGCUGUUUCUAUCAAUUUGACUCAAGUUAAUCAUAUUUUUCCAUAAAAACUGAGGUUAGACUAAAACACUUUUCUGAAUAAAAUACUACUAAUCUCUGUCACGCAGAAAAAGGGAUUGUUCACAGCACUUCCCGCUCCUCUCCUAACACACAGUUUGCACAUAUGUGGCCUAUGUCACAAUUCGCCAGUGACACUUUCUAGAGGUAAAACUUUAGCCCUCACAUUGUCAUGAUAUCCUGAUAAAUGACAAGUGAACUUGAGAACAAUUUCUGCUCAUAUUUUACAACAAGUCUGUUGCCGUCUUUUUUAAACUUUAUUUGACACUUUUAAAGAAAGUGCGAUUCUCCACACAGUGUAACCCACUCCUAGCCAGUAGCCAUGUGCUUGCACCCGUGUGUUUUGGUCUGUAGAAAUCGUCGACGGGAAUGUUUUAUUACUGCUUGUGGCAUUAGUAGUCUAGUGGUUAGGCUACCGGACUCGUAAUCGUGAGGUUGUGGGUUCGGGGGUUCGAGCCUUGGACCCAA